GGGCCCGUAGCUCAGCAUGGUGGAGCGGCGGUCCUGACCCGUAGGCCGUGGGUUCAAAUCCCACCGGGCCCG
rnacentral:tRNA from 1 species